GAUGAACGCUGGCGGCGUGCUUAACACAUGCAUGUCGAACGGGAAUUAUUUUAUUGAAACUUCGGUCGAUUUAAUUUAAUUCUAGUGGCGGACGGGUGAGUAACGCGUGGGUAACCUGCCUUAUACAGGGGGAUAACAGUCAGAAAUGACUGCUAAUACCGCAUAAGCGCACAGGACCGCAUGGUCCGGUGUGAAAAACUCCGGUGGUAUAAGAUGGACCCGCGUUGGAUUAGCUGGUUGGUGGGGUAACGUCCCACCAAGGCGACGAUCCAUAGCCGGCCUGAGAGGGUGAACGGCCACAUUGGGACUGAGACACGGCCCAGACUCCUACGGGAGGCAGCAGUGGGGAAUAUUGCACAAUGGGGGAAACCCUGAUGCAGCGACGCCGCGUGAAGGAAGAAGUAUCUCGGUAUGUAAACUUCUAUCAGCAGGGAAGAUAGUGACGGUACCUGACUAAGAAGCCCCGGCUAACUACGUGCCAGCCGCCGCGGUAA
rnacentral:rRNA from 1 species